CCUCUAGGGCACCCACAGGUGGGCCAUGCAUUGCCACCUGCCAUACCUGCAUCAGCACCCCAACUCCUAGUCCCAGCCUGAUUAUACAAUGCACCAUGUGCCAACACUCCAUACAAAUGCUGGAAACACAAACAGCCAACUGCCCCACAGCCACCUGGACCCACAUAUCCCUCCCCCCCCCCCCGCCUCCUUAGGGGCACCCACAGGUGGGCCAUGCAUUGCCACCUGCCAUACCUGCAUCGGCACCCCAACUCCUAGUCCCAGCCUGAUUAUACAAUGCACCAUGUGCCAACACUCCAUACAAAUGCUGGAAACACAAACAGCCAACUGCCCCACAGCCACGUGGACCCACAUAUCCCUCCCCCCCCCGCCCGCCUCCUUAGGGGCACCAUCAGAUGGGCCAUGCAUUGCCACCUGCCAUACCUGCAUUGGCACCCCAACUCCUAGUCCCAGCCUGAUUAUUCAAUGCACCAUGUGCCAACACUCCAUACAAAUGCUGGAAACACAAACAGCCAACUGCCCCACAGCCACCUGGACCCACAUAUCCCUCCCCCCCCCGCCUCCUUAGGGGCACCCACAGGUGGGCCAUGCAUUGCCACCUGCCAUACCUGCAUCAGCACCCCAACUCCUAGUCCCAGCCUGAUUAUACAAUGCACCAUGUGCCAACACUCCAUACAAAUGCUGGAAACACAAACAGCCUACUGCCCCACAGCCACCUGGACCCACAUAUCCCUCCCCCCCCGCCUCCUUAGGGGCACCCACAGGUGGGCCAUGCAUUGCCACCUGCCAUACCUGCAUCGGCACCCCAACUCCUAGUCCCAGCCUGAUUAUUCAAUGCACCAUGUGCCAACACUCCAUACACAUGCUGGAAACACAAACAGCCAACUGCCCCACA
rnacentral:lncRNA from 1 species